GGAUAUGCUUAUAAGUAAAAGGGAAAAUAUGAGGAAAAUAAGUGAAAGUAAAUUAUAAUGUAAAAUAAACAAUUGUGUCAGAUAUAAGUUGGGUGUGAAAAUUAUUAUUCAUUAACGAAAGAAAUAUUCAAUAUUUAUAAAAUUUAAAUAGAUUAAAGCAAUGAGCUAUAGUACCUUGCUUUAAACUGAAAAAUUAAGUUCUGAUAUUAUUUACUCAGAACAAAAAAAAAAAAAAAAAAAUUCAUUUUGGUGUCAGACUUAAAAUAUCUUAAGUGUCUUAGGAGAAUUCUUGUAAAAAUUAAAAAUGUGCUGUAAUUCUAGAUACAGGACCUGUCUUUAUGUAGUUUACUUCAAUAAUCAUUAACUUCACUUCUCAAUAGUAAUAUGAAUUAAUAAAUAGAAAAGAAACUGAAUUUUUUUUCAAAGUCAAUGUGACUAAAAAUUUAGAUGUCAUUGCCCUUCAUUCAACAGCCUGUAAACUGAUUGAAAAAAAAUGUGUCAAGUAAAGAGUUAAUAUUUCUCUAUCUUCAGCUUUUUAAAUCACAUCUUGAUUGUUACGAAAUAUUUUAAAUUUUUCCUCAUUUGGUUGACCUUACUGUAGAAUUAGCUAGAAGAAAAUUGUUUUGAACUUAGUUAUAAAAAAGACUUAUCUGUACACAUUCCUAUGAAAACUGCUGCGGUCUGUGCAUUCGCUUUUAAAGCUUUCAACAAUGAUUUUGGAUUUGUAUUCUGUGUCUCAAUAUUAAAAGUGUUCAUUUGGAGCAUUUUGUAGCUUUUUGAAAUUUAAAAAUAAGUUAUUAUGCCUCAUUGUUCAAAAUUAAAUUUAAGCCAAAUCCAUGUCAAAUUAUAUGUUUUUGCCAUUUAACGUUUUAUUUUUUGCAGCAGCCUUGUGGAAAGCCUAAGAAAGGAAAACUUAAUGAACAGCUAAAAUAUUGUAAUGUAGUAUUGAAAGAACUCUUUGCUAAGAAGCAUGGGGGCUAUGCAUGGCCAUUUUACAAACCAGUUGAUGCAAAACUUCUGGAUCUACCAGAUUAUCAUGAAGUUAUUAAACAUCCAAUGGAUCUAGGUACUAUCAAG